rnacentral:misc_RNA from 1 species
GAUGAAGAACGUAGCGAAAUGCGAUAAGUAAUGUGAAUUGCAGAAUUCAGUGAAUCAUCGAAUCUUUGAACGCACAUUGCGCUCGCCAGUAUUCUGGCGGGCAUGCCUGUCCGAGCGUCAUUUCAACCCUCGAACCCCUCCGGGGGGUCGGCGUUGGGGAUCGGCCCUUUCACCGGGUGCCGGCCCCUAAAUACAGUGGCGGUCUCGCCGCAGCCUCUCAUGCGCAGUAGUUUGCACACUCGCACCGGGAGCGCGGCGCGUCCACGUCCGUAAAACACCCCAAACUUCUGAAAUGUUGACCUCGGAUCAGGUAGGAAUACCCGCUGAACUUAAGCAUAUCAAUAAGCGGAGGA